rnacentral:lncRNA from 1 species
UAGAAGUCAGGUCGGAUUAAGCCAUAGUACGGAAAAAACUAUGNNACCUGUGAGCCCCGUCCAAGGACGUUAAAAGAAGUCAGGCCACUACAAGUGCCACGGCUUGAGCAAACUGUGCAGCCUGUAGCUCCACCUGGGAAGGUGUAAAAAAUCUGGGAGGCCACAAACCAUGGAAGCUGUACGCAUGGCGUAGUGGACUAGCGGUUAGAGG